rnacentral:rRNA from 1 species
ACACGACUACAUUAGAUACCCGGGUAGUCCUAGCCGUAAACGAUACUCGCUAGGUGUCGGCCACGGUGCGACCGUUGUCGGUGCCGUAGGGAAGCCGUGAAGCGAGCCACCUGGGAAGUACGGCCGCAAGGCUGAAACUUAAAGGAAUUGGCGGGGGAGCGCCACAACGGGUGGAGCCUGCGGUUUAAUUGGACUCAACGCCGGGAAGCUCACCGGAUAAGACAGCGGAAUGAUUGCCGGGCUGAAGACCCUGCAUGACCAGCUG